rnacentral:tRNA from 1 species
AACGCUGGAGCCAGCCGGCCAGGCAACCGAUUGCAACUCGGUCCCAAGCGGGUUCGAUUCCCGCCAGCGUUU